rnacentral:tRNA from 1 species
GGUGAAUUGGCAGAGUGGUUUAAUGCGUCGGAUUCGAAAUUCGAUGGACGCUUUUGCGUCCCUUGGGUUCAAAUCCCAAAUUCACCGCCA